rnacentral:rRNA from 1 species
UGGGGAAUUUUGGACAAUGGGCGCAAGCCUGAUCCAGCCAUGCCGCGUGAGUGAAGAAGGCCUUCGGGUUGUAAAGCUCUUUUGGUCGGGAAGAAACAGUGGUAUCUAAUAUAGGCGAUUGAUGACGGUACCGAAAGAAGAAGCACCGGCUAACUACGUGCCAGCAGCCGCGGUAAUACGUAGGGUGCGAGCGUUAAUCGGAAUUACUGGGCGUAAAGCGUGCGCAGGCGGUUUUGUAAGACAGAUGUGAAAUCCCCGGGCUUAACCUGGGAACUGCGUUUGUGACUGCAAGGCUGGAGUACGGCAGAGGGGGGUGGAAUUCCUCGUGUAGCAGUGAAAUGCGUAGAGAUGAGGAGGAACACCGAUGGCGAAGGCAGCCCCCUGGGCCUGUACUGACGCUCAUGCACGAAAGCGUGGGGAGCAAACAGGAUUAGAUACCCUGGUAGUCCACGCCCUAAACGAUGUCGACUAGUUGUUCGGAGCAGCAAUGCACUGAGUAACGUAGCUAACGCGUGAAGUCGACCGCCUGGGGAGUACGGCCGCAAGGUUAAAACUCAAAGGAAUUGACGG